GGCUCCGUGGUGUAGUGAUUAUCACGUGUGCUUCACACGCACAAGGUCGCCGGUUUGAUCCCGGCCGGAGUCA